UACGUAGGUGGCGAGCGUUGUCCGGAUUUACUGGGCGUAAAGAGCGCGCAGGCGGUCGUACAAGUCGCGUGUGAAAGCCCCCCGGCUCAACUGGGGAGGGUCACGCGAUACUGUUCGACUCGAAGGCAGGAGAGGGUAGUGGAAUUCCCGGUGUAGUGGUGAAAUGCGUAGAUAUCAGGAGGAACACCGGUGGCGAAGGCGGCUAUCUGGACAGAAACUGACGCUGAGGCGCGAAAGCUAGGGGAGCAAACAGG
rnacentral:rRNA from 1 species